GGGACANGGCCUGUAAACGGGGUCUAAUACCGGAUAACACCUGCCCGGGCAUCUGGGUGGGUUAAAAGCUCCGGCGGUGAAGGAUGAGCCCGCGGCCUAUCAGCUUGUUGGUGAGGUAGUGGCUCACCAAGGCGACGACGGGUAGCCGGCCUGAGAGGGCGACCGGCCACACUGGGACUGAGACACGGCCCAGACUCNUACGGGAGGCAGCAGUGGGGAAUAUUGCACAAUGGGCGAAAGCCUGAUGCAGCGACGCCGCGUGAGGGAUGACGGCCUUCGGGUUGUAAACCUCUUUCAGCAGGGAAGAAGCGAAAGUGACGGUACCUGCAGAAGAAGCGCCGGCUAACUACGUGCCAGCAGCCGCGGUAAUACGUAGGGCGCAAGCGUUGUCCGGAAUUAUUGGGCGUAAAGAGCUCGUAGGCGGCUUGUCACGUCGGGUGUGAAAGCCCGGGGCUUAACCCCGGGUCUGCAUUCGAUACGGGCUAGCUAGAGUGUGGUAGGGGAGAUCGGAAUUCCUGGUGUAGCGGUGAAAUGCGCAGAUAUCAGGAGGAACACCGGUGGCGAAGGCGGAUCUCUGGGCCAUUACUGACGCUGAGGAGCGAAAGCGUGGGGAGCGAACAGGAUUAGAUACCCUGGUAGUCCACGCCGUAANCGGUGGGAACUAGGUGUUGGCGACAUUCCACGUCGUCGGUGCCGCAGCUAACGCAUUAAGUUCCCCGCCUGGGGAGUACGGCCGCAAGGCUAAAACUCAAAGGAAUUGACGGGGGCCCGCACAAGCAGCGGAGCAUGUGGCUUAAUUCGACGCAACGCGAAGAACCUUACCAAGGCUUGACAUACNCCGGAAAACGGCCAGAGAUGGUCNCCCCCUUGGGGNCCGGGGUACAG
rnacentral:rRNA from 1 species